UAUCACAGCGCUCGAUAUGGCCCU
rnacentral:miRNA from 1 species